rnacentral:lncRNA from 1 species
AUGAGUAUUUCAGCAGCAACUUUUAAAAUCAGCAAUGGAUUCUGCAAUUCUUGUAACCCACCACUUUCUCAGAUCGACCAAGCGGAAACAUGGCGAGGAUCAUCGCGCCCUGAUAAUAAGACCACACUCUUUCCAGAAUUUACUCCUUUUUUCAGAGAAAAAGGACAUAGUAAGUGGCAAAACAUUAGACAUCAGAAAGCAGCUAAUGAUUUACAAAAGUCGAAGAUCUUCAAUAUGUUAAUACUCCAGAUUAAAAAAGCAAUCCUUGAUGGAGGUAGCAACAACCCAGACCAUAACUCUACCCUAGCUAAUGUGGUUGCCACUUGUAAGAGAGUUAAUAUGCCUGCAUCUACAAUUCAAAGUGCUCUCCAAGGACAUAAGGUAGAACUAAAAAAACCUACAGAAUUCAUUCCAUUUUCAAAGAACUUCACACCAAGGCCUUUUCUUUCAACUUGCUAAGUAUGUUCCACUUCCAAAACUGAGUUCAGUGACGGGAAAGUAUUCAGCCAGCAGGGCAGGUAUUGAAUCCAGAACUAUUGAAGUGAUACCCUCUGAACUUUAUGAACUACUGUUUGAUACCGAAGAUGAAAUGACAAGCAUUAAGUAACUUGCUGUAGUAGGGGUAUCUUAAGGAAACAAAUCAUAGAAAUCUAAAUUAAAAAUAACUUCUUGAGUGUAAAUGGGCAAACGAAAGAGGAAUUAUUGCUCAUAAACUUCGUAAUUAUUGUUUGAAAGCGCUUUUCUUGUAGAGUUUAGGGAAACACUGAAAUUGAUU